AGCAGCUGUUUCACCCUGUCAAGCAUGAUCACAGAAGAAAAUGGCUACGUAGUAGUACAGGGAGCUCACCAAGUGACCAUAUAUCAGAUUUGUAACCAUAAGGUAUGUCCGCAAGUAUUUCUGGGCACAUGUAGUUUGGGGUUCCUACAAUCUGAAAAAAGAAGAAGAUAAAUUCCAAAUUUUGAUCAGUGGGAAAUUGAGCCUGGCCUGUCAGUCAUAAUCAGUUGAUAUGAAAUGUUAUAAUUUAUUUUCAAGAACAUUUGUCCAUUUCACACUUUCACUGGUAUUGUUGUAUAUAAUGUGACUGAUGAUAAAAGAACAUAUAUGGCAUUAGUAGACAGAUGAACAAAACCUGGAUGAUUUACACGAACGAUGUUUAUGCUUAUUCAUGUCCUAAUUCAGAGAGAUUGUAAGCAAGUAGCGGACGAUUUGAAUGUGUCCCACUAGAUAAUUUAAAUAAUUUUCUGGCAAAGGGUUGAGUCAUACCGAUGAGGCAAGGUCCUCCAUGAGUAAUUUUGCUAACCCGAAGUCACCUGUUUUCAAUCAAGAGGGAAUUAAUAAUCAUCUCGUGUUAUUCUUUCAUGAGGAAAUGUAUAUAGGACGAGUAUAAAUCCAAUGUAUAUAUUUCUUACCAAGUCGGAUGUUGUUAUCCUUUGUUAACAAGAUAUUGGAACACUGCAAAUGCAACAGGAGACAAGGAAAUGUCAGGGCGAUGCUAAUUCCAAAUGAACUCAUUGAGGCUGGCAGUUUUACCUUGAGGUCACGGUGCAGCACGCGAUUGCAGUGCAGAUAGUCAAGGGCCAAGAGCAAUUGCGUGAACCACCGGCAAACCCUCUUCAGAUUACACAAGUAGUGCCAAAACAGGAAGGUAAGUUUCUGAACUGUGAACAUUUCCUUUUCUACUGCUCAUGCCUGUAGGUGUAAAACACUACAGACUACACCAGUGUGGUUACCUCUUCAGAAAAAAGGACGCCCCUCGCCUUCUUGAUCCUCUGCGCCCUGUGAACCCAAAUUAAGUCAGGAAAACCCAGCCAAAACGGAGAAAUUUUACACGCGGCGGCGAGGAAGGCAAACCGCAAGAGCUUACAUGUCGCCUCCUUCGCAGUAACUCGUGACGAUGCACACGGAGGUCCCCUGCAAGUAACGACGCAGUAAAUUCAGUCUGGGCGUUGUGAAAUCGAGAGCACGAACAAUCCCAAUCAAAUUGACUGCUUUGUACGUAGUUUGGUACUUUGCACUACCUCGUCGACCCAUCCGUCCUUGUACUCGACGAUGUGGGGGUUGCUGAGGCUCGCCAUCAGAGACAUCUGCAGAGCAAGCGGAAAAGAAAAAAAGCUUCAGAAUCCAUUCAGCUGCCAACCAAACCAUUCGUCCUCACGAGACUGCUGUUACCCGAGUGGGGAAUUUGCGAGGGUUUAAGCUUGCGGUAAAUUUCAGUACCUCCUGGUAAGCGGUCCGCUGGAACUUGUCGUUCUGCUUGGACAGGCGGAUCUUCUUCAUCACGUACCUGCAGUGCAGAGGCGAAAACAAAAUAAGAAACAGAUACUUAAUAAGAAGGAAGGGAAGCCUGAAGAAACAAAGGAUGGAGAAAUCUGAAGGAGGAGGAGGAAGAGAAGGCGCGGUGUGGGGAGGGUGGUGGGCCGACCUCUUCCUCUCGGCCCUGUGGACGACGAGGUAGGCGGUGCCGUAGGCGCCCCGGCCGAUCUGCUCCACGACCUCGUACUGCUCCAUGGGAUCCCCCCCAGGCAGGCAGGCACGCAGCUCAGGAUCCUCCAAGUAAGUAGCUUCCUUCCUUCCUUCUCUCUGUAUUUGCUUGGCGGUGUGUUUGCCUUUGCUUGCUCGUCUUGUCGGCUGUCGCUGCAGGGUAUAAAUGCCGCUCCUGGCGCUCACGGCGCUCGUGAUGAUGGCAAUUGCAGCAGCUAGCGUGAGCGUGUGGAAGGGGCCGCAAUAAUAAUGGCGGGCGCGCUGCUCGCUCGUCUCUCUCGCUCCCUCUCUGUGUGUCUCUGUCUGCGAGAGGAAGACGCAGGAGCCGAACGGAGAGUACGUUCAGCAGCUACGCCUACCGGGAGGGAGGAAGGAAGGAAGGAAGGAAGCGGCCCUUAUUCCUGGCUUUGCUGCCCGUCGGUCGGUCGUUCAAGGCUGCCGCUGCUGCUUUGCUUUAUUCG
rnacentral:lncRNA from 1 species